rnacentral:rRNA from 1 species
UACGGAGGAUGCAAGCGUUAUCCGGAAUGAUUGGGCGUAAAGCGUCCGCAGGUGGCUAUGUAAGUCUGCUGUUAAAGAGUGAGGCUCAACCUCAUAAGAGCAGUGGAAACUACAUGGCUAGAGUGGGUUCGGGGCAGAGGGAAUUCCUGGUGUAGCGGUGAAAUGCGUAGAGAUCAGGAAGAACACCGGUGGCGAAAGCGCUCUGCUAGGCCGCAACUGACACUGAGGGACGAAAGCUAGGGGAGCGAAUGGG